rnacentral:rRNA from 1 species
GAUGAACGCUAGCUACAGGCUUAACACAUGCAAGUCGAGGGGAAACGACAUCGAAAGCUUGCUUUUGAUGGGCGUCGACCGGCGCACGGGUGAGUAACGCGUAUCCAACCUGCCCACCACUUGGGGAUAACCUUGCGAAAGUAAGACUAAUACCCAAUGAUAUCUCUAGAAGACAUCUGAAAGAGAUUAAAGAUUUAUCGGUGAUGGAUGGGGAUGCGUCUGAUUAGCUUGUUGGCGGGGUAACGGCCCACCAAGGCGACGAUCAGUAGGGGUUCUGAGAGGAAGGUCCCCGACAGUGGAACUGAGACACGGUCCAAACUGCUACGGGAGGCAGCAGUGAGGAAUAUUGGUCAAUGGGCGAGAGCCUGAACCAGCCAAGUAGCGUGCAGGAUGACGGCCCUAUGGGUUGUAAACUGCUUUUAUAAGGGAAUAAAGUGAGCCUCGUGAGGCUUUUUGCAUGUACCUUAUGAAUAAGGACCGGCUAAUUCCGUGCCAGCCGCCGCGGUAA